UACGUAGGGCGCAAGCGUUGUCCGGAAUUAUUGGGCGUAAAGAGCUCGUAGGCGGCUUGUCACGUCGGGUGUGAAAGCCCGGGGCUUAACCCCGGGUCUGCAUUCGAUACGGGCUAGCUAGAGUGUGGUAGGGGAGAUCGGAAUUCCUGGUGUAGCGGUGAAAUGCGCAGAUAUCAGGAGGAACACCGGUGGCGAAGGCGGCCCACUGGUCCGGUACUGACGCUGAGGUGCGAAAGCGUGGGGAGCGAACAGG
rnacentral:rRNA from 1 species